GACGGAGGAUGCAAGCGUUAUCCGGAAUUAUUGGGCGUAAAGCGUCCGCAGGUGGCUGUUCAAGUCUGCUGUCAAAGCGCAGAGCUUAACUCUGUACAGGCGGUGGAAACUGAAGAGCUAGAGUAUGGUAGGGGUAGAGGGAAUUCCCGGUGUAGCGGUGAAAUGCGUAGAUAUCGGGAAGAACACCAGUGGCGAAAGCGCUCUACUGGGCCAUAACUGACACUGAGGGACGAAAGCUAAGGGAGCGAAAGGG
rnacentral:rRNA from 1 species